AACCAUAGAAACCUGCGGAGUACCUGCGGAGGGAUCAUUAUAGUAUAUGGAAUCUCCAUUCUAUAAACCCACUCUGCGUAUCUUGUAACUGUUGCUUCCAUGGGACUUGGUUCCGCCACACCGGCUUCACGGCUGGUGAGCGCCCAUGGAAGGAGAAGCAAAACUCUUCUUUGAAAUGUAGUCAGUCUGAACAAGUUUUUAUAAACGUUAAAACUUUUAGCAACGGAUCUCAGAUCGGAA
rnacentral:misc_RNA from 1 species